UGAAAGCUGCUAUCCUGAGUAUUUGAAUACACGCAUAAAUAAAACACCGAUUUCCUGUUUUUUUAGUAUAUAAGUAACAGUUUAAACCCUAUCAGGCAUCUGCAUCGAGUAUAGCAUUCGAAGCAAACAUGAAAUACACACUGGUUUUCUUGUUGGCAUUCUGCUUGGUGACUCAAAUGUUCGCCAGACCUCAAGAACCAGAGCAGGAAGCAGAAGAGGGCGAUGCAGGUGAAGAGGGAGGAAAUGCUCCAAGUGAAGGUGGUAACGAAGGUGGCGAAGAAGCAGGUGAAGGAGAUGCUUCUGAUCCUUCUUCUCCUUAAGGAUCAUUUGGAUGUUCACGGCAUUUUAUUCUUUGAUGACACAUAUAAUCAUGUGCAAUUAUAACUAUUAAAUUGGACUAAAUUGUAACCAAAAUGCUCUUUAAAAGACAGUCCAAGUUACAGACAAAGUAUAAAGUUAGAAUCUUGAUUAAAGCAAAUAAAUUCAUAUUAUUCAAAGUAUUAAAAAAUGGGCACUUGUCUUGAAA